UGCGAUUGGUUAGCUGGGCCAGCGUGUGCUGUGUUGCGGUCGGUUAGCUGGGCCAGUGUGUGUUGCGGUCGGUUAGCUGGGCCAGCGUGUGCUGUGUUGCGAUUUGGUUAGCUGGGCCAGUGUGUGUUGCGGUCGGUUAGCUGGGCCAGUGUGUGUUGUGUUGUGGUCGGUUAGCUGGGCCAGUGUGUGUGUGCUGUGAUCGGUUAGCUGGGCCAGUGUGUGUUGCGGUCGGUUAGCUGGGCCAGUGUGUGUUGCGGUCGGUUAGCUGGGCCAGUGUGUGUUGCCGUUGGUUAGCUGGGCCAGUGUGUGUGUGCUGUGGUUGGUUAGCUGGGCCAGUGUGUGUGUGCUGUGGUUGGUUAGCUGGGCCAGUGUGUUGUGUGUUGCGGUCGGUUAGCUGGGCCAGUGUGUGUUGCGGUUGGUUAGCUGGGCCAGUGUGUUGUGUGUUGCGGUCGGUUAGCUGGGCCAGUGUGUGUUGCGGUCGGUUAGCUGGGCAAGUGUGUGUUGCGGUUGGUUAGCUGGGCCAGUGUGUGUUGCGGUUGGUUAGCUGGGCCAGUGUGUGUGUGCUGUGGUUGGUUAGCUGGGCCAGUGUGUGUGUGCUGUGGUUGGUUAGCUGGGCCAGUGUGUGUUGCGGUUGGUUAGCUGGGCCAGUGUGUGUUGCGGUUGGUUAGCUGGGCCAGUGUGUGUGUGCUGUGAUUGGUUAGCUGGGCCAGUGUGUGUUGCGGUUGGUUAGCUGGGCCAGUGUGUGUGUGCUGUGAUUGGUUAGCUGGGCCAGUGUGUGUUGCGGUUGGUUAGCUGGGCCAGUGUGUGUGUUGCGGUUGGUUAGCUGGGCCAGUGUGUGUGUGCUGUGAUUGGUUAGCUGGGCCAGUGUGUG
ensembl:lncRNA